UGUUAAAAAAUUCGUCAUUUCUACUAUUAAAAAUUAGUGCGACUGACGAAAUAACUAGACAAUUCCACGUAAUAUAUCACAUGUACCUUAUGUUGACGUAUAAAUAUUAGUUUUUAAUAUUAAAAAUAGACGAAAAUUUUAACA
rfam:Gossypium raimondii Chr04_contig_33, whole genome shotgun sequence.